rnacentral:rRNA from 1 species
AUUGAACGCUGGCGGCAUGCUUUACACAUGCAAGUCGAACGGUAACAGGUUAAGCUGACGAGUGGCGAACGGGUGAGUAAUGCAUCGGAACGUGCCCGGUCGUGGGGGAUAACGCAGCGAAAGCUGCGCUAAUACCGCAUACGAUCUGAGGAUGAAAGCGGGGGACCGUAAGGCCUCGCGCGAUCGGAGCGGCCGAUGUCAGAUUAGGUAGUUGGUGGGGUAAAGGCUCACCAAGCCAACGAUCUGUAGCUGGUCUGAGAGGACGACCAGCCACACUGGGACUGAGAAACGGCCCAGAAUCCUACGGGAGGCAGCAGUGUGGAAUUUUGGACAAUGGGCGCAAGCCUGAUCCAGCAAUGCCGCGUGCAGGAAGAAGGCCUUCGGGUUGUAAACUGCUUUUGUACGGAACGAAAAGGUCUGGGUUAAUACCCUGGGCACAUGACGGUACCGUAAGAAUGAGCACCGGCUAACUACGUGCCAGCCGCCGCCGUAA